CCCCCAAUAGCUCAGUGGACAGAGCUGCAAACUUCUAAUUUGUAGGUCGCAGGUUCGAAUCCUGCUUGGGGGA
rnacentral:tRNA from 1 species